AUUGAUCGCUGGCGGCAGGCCUAACACAUGCAAGUCGAACGGUAACAGGAAGAAGCUUGCUUCUUUGCUGACGAGUGGCGGACGGGUGAGUAAUGUCUGGGAAACUGCCUGAUGGAGGGGGAUAACUACUGGAAACGGUAGCUAAUACCGCAUAACGUCGCAAGACCAAAGAGGGGGACCUUCGGGCCUCUUGCCAUCGGAUGUGCCCAGAUGGGAUUAGCUAGUAGGUGGGGUAACGGCUCACCUAGGCGACGAUCCCUAGCUGGUCUGAGAGGAUGACCAGCCACACUGGAACUGAGACACGGUCCAGACUCCUACGGGAGGCAGCAGUGGGGAAUAUUGCACAAUGGGCGCAAGCCUGAUGCAGCCAUGCCGCGUGUAUGAAGAAGGCCUUCGGGUUGUAAAGUACUUUCAGCGGGGAGGAAGGGAGUAAAGUUAAUACCUUUACUCAUUGACGUUACCCGCAGAAGAAGCACCGGCUAACUCCGUG
rnacentral:rRNA from 1 species